AGUGAACGCUGGCGGUAGGCCUAACACAUGCAAGUCGAACGGCAGCACAGUAAGAGCUUGCUCUUACGGGUGGCGAGUGGCGGACGGGUGAGGAAUACAUCGGAAUCUACUUUUUCGUGGGGGAUAACGUAGGGAAACUUACGCUAAUACCGCAUACGACCUACGGGUGAAAGCAGGGGAUCUUCGGACCUUGCGCGAUUGAAUGAGCCGAUGUCGGAUUAGCUAGUUGGCGGGGUAAAGGCCCACCAAGGCGACGAUCCGUAGCUGGUCUGAGAGGAUGAUCAGCCACACUGGAACUGAGACACGGUCCAGACUCCUACGGGAGGCAGCAGUGGGGAAUAUUGGACAAUGGGCGCAAGCCUGAUCCAGCCAUACCGCGUGGGUGAAGAAGGCCUUCGGGCUGUAAAGCCCUUUUGUUGGGAAAGAAAAGCAGCAGGUUAAUACCCCGCUGUUCUGACGGUACCCAAAGGAUAAGCACCGGCUAACUUCGUG
rnacentral:rRNA from 1 species